CUCAAUCCGCGGCGUUUUGUCGACUCCAGGUGCGCCAGUCUUCUGGUUGCCUCGUUUUCCUGCCUUCUAUCCUGCCGCAUGCUGCAAAGGCUCUACUUCUGCACACAAGCCGUUGCUCCUUGUUUGGUCUGUGAGAGCAAGGAUUUGCCAAUGGAAAAGAUAAUUAGUUUGUGGAGCUCGCGGGAGGCAAGGCAACAUUAAAAGUGCUUCGAUUUUGGCUGGAGGACCAUUGCAGCCUGAGCAGAUGAGGAUUGGUUGCUCCCUGGAUUAAAUUAUUUAAUGGAGAAUAAUUUGGUCCAGCCCCUCUUUAGGCUGUUACUUGAUUUAACAAGAGGCUCUCUAUGAUUCUGUAUCUAUGGUGCUCUGAUGGUUUUGGGACUACAUUGGCGAGAGGCCUACGUUGUAACUAUUAGGAAUAAAACUUUUCUAUUUUAA